CCACCAAACUAAACAGUUCAACUACCAUGAAAGAUUAGAAUGUAAUAAUUCCCUAGACUUGACCCUUCCUGUUUAACAUCAUUAAUAAUCAGUUAUUCCUUUAUUUAAAAGUGUGGUGGCCGUGCUGCUACAUCCCUUCUCCCAAAGCAAAGAUCAGGUGCCUGCAUCAGACAAUGCAAGAGUGAGAUGACACAUCUCAGCAAGUAAAGAAAAACAAACAACAGUUGGACAAUGCAAGCCAACCGUGCAUAAGCAACCACAUGGUUCCCAACUUCUUCCUUAAAUAUUAAUUUGCAGCAAGUAAGCAAAUACUCAAUUACUCAAUGCCAAGAAGAAUUACAAAGUAAAGAUCCACCUUAUCCACAUCACCAAAAUAGGUUCCACACUUCACCCAUGAAUGCACAUGGCUACAGAUGCAACAUGACUUCUGCCUUCAUACCUCUAAGGAUAUGAAGCUGCAUCAUACCCCUUCUCGGGAAAACAUAUGAUGCUCAUUGUACCGGUACGGUCGGACCAUAAGAUCGCAACGAAAACUUCAAUGCAGUGGAUGAUGAAUGCAUUAUGCAUGUCAACAACAUAAGUUCUUCCCAAAUAAGAUGUGCUAGACAUAUACCUCCACCCAUUUCACAUCAAUAACCACAUGGGUAACAUGAUCAAACCACACCCUCCACAUGUAUAAUCAACAGAGCAUGAAUAAUUUCAAACGAUGGUACCCAAUUAGGAAUAUGGAUAUGAACACAAGUAGCACAAACAUAAUCAAGUAUGAGGCUCUUCAAUCAAAAGACGAAAUAACCAUCACUGUUUUACUUGCCUUUACCGAAGUUAGGGCAAAAUCCCUAAGAACGAUCCGGAAGUCCACCACCUUGGGUUCUCCCCUUUUCCUUCCUCCCUUCUUCCUUCCACCAAAAUGAUUGGAGAUUCGCACCAAAAGACGAUGAUCCGAGCGGCACGGAGUAGCACCUAGGGAGGAGGGGAUUGGGGGGGGGGGCGGCUAGGGUUUUGUUGGCUGCAACAAUGGAGGGAGGAGGAGGUGGACAGGGGGGGGCGGCGGCCUAGGGGAAAUGAGGAGUGGGGGGGCGGCAGCCAUGAGGGGGAGUAGAUAGGAGGGUGGUGGCUAGGGUUUGGGAGGCCUAAUGGGCCGAAACACCAAUUGCGGCCCAACUAACCCACGCGACAGCUCCCGACCGCAACGCAAAUGUCAAACCAAAAAAAUUCUACUGCCCUAGUUGCGAAUGUUAUUCACAAAAUUCCAAAUCCCCAAAACAACAACUGGAUGAGGGAAAAAAAACAAAAAAAACAACCCCCAACUUCUCUUCUUUGCAAACCGGGUAUCACAUUCUACCCCUCUUAAAAAGAAUUCGUCCUCGAAUUCUGACGCUUCUAUCGGAAUGACACAAGAAAAGCUUAGCAAAUCAACAACACUUACCCACAACGAAAAGUUCCGGGUACUUCUGCCGCAUCAACUCCUCAAGUUCCCACGUAGCCUCGCGCUCUGACUGAUUAGACCAUAAGACCUUGACAUACUUAAUUGAUCUCUUCCUCAACACACGCUCCGAGAAUUCCAAAAUACGCACCGGACGACACUCCAGAGUCAGAUCCUGCUGCACCGCAAUUGGUUCCAUCUCAAUCUGAUGGUCCGGAUCCCGCAAGAACUUCCUCAACAUAGAGACAUGAAAAACCGGGUGUACCCCUGCCAUGGAAUCCGGCAGCAGCAAGCGAUAAGCCAGGCUGCCCACUCGGGCCAAGAUAGUGAACGGUCCAAUGUAUCUUGGGCUGAGCUUCCCAGAGACACCGAACCGAACAACUCCCUUAGUGGGUGAUACCCUGAGAAGGACUUGGUCACCCACAGCAAAUUCCAGAUCCCGCCUCCUCACAUCAGCAUAACUCUUCUGACGACUCUGAGCUGCCAAAAUAUUCUGACGAAUUUCCCGAACCUUUUCAGAAGUUUGCUGAACCCAAUCAGGACCAACCAGGGAUCUCUCUCCCAAAGUCUCCCAGCACAGAGGAGAGAUACACCGCCUGCCAUACAAAGCCUCAAAUGGUGCCAUCUUGAUGCUAGCUUGGUAGCUGUUGUUAUACGCAAACUCUGCCAGAGCAAGAUGAUCCUCCCAGCUACCCUUCCAUGACAGAACACAAGCACGCAGCAUAUCCUCCAAGGUUUGGAUUGUUCGCUCUGACUGACCAUCCGUCUGAGGGUGAAAAGCGACACUAAGCGAAAGCUUGGUGCCCAAUGCACUGUGGAGACUCUCCCAGAAUUUGGAUACAAAUUUGGAGUCUCGAUCAGAAACAAUAGACUUAGGUAUCCCGUGAAGCCUGACUACUUCCUUCAUAUACAAGGGAACCAAAUCUGAAGCUGAAUUCGUGGUCUUCAUGGGAAUAAAAUGCGCACACUUAGUCAAGCGAUCCACUACCACCCAAAUAGCAUCCCUGCCACGAGGGGAACGAGGUAGACCCACCACAAAAUCCAUGGUGAUAUGCUCCCAUUUCCACUCUGGAAUUUCCAAUGGCUUCAGCAAACCUGCAGGCCGCUUAUGUUCGGCCUUCACGCGCUGACAUACUUCACAGGCGGCCACAUACUUAGAAAUGUCAACCUUCAUCCGCUUCCACCAGAAGUUUUGCUUCAAAUCUCGGUACAUUUUGGUUUCGCCAGGAUGGACGGUGUAAGGCGUUUUAUGAGCUUCUCGCAGGAUAUCCAGCUUCACCUCUGAUUUCUGAGGCACACAGAGACGGCCCCUGAAACGAACCAAAUCAAUCUCAUCGAUGGUGAACUCCCGCGGUUUACCAUCACCAACCCUCCUUCGGGCUUCCUGCAAAAGACGAUCCUGCUGCUGAGCCGCACGCACUCUCUCCAUAAGAGAGGAUUGAAUAAGCAUCUGAGUCUCCUUGCUAGCGGUGCCGACAUGACACAAAGCGAUCCCCGAACGGUCCAGAUCAGCGAUCAACGGCAAGGCCACCUUUGGAACCCCAGACCUGCUAAGGGCAUCCGCCACCACAUUAGCCUUCCCCGGGUGAUAAUGAAUGGACAAAUCAUAAUCUUUAAUCAAUUCUAGCCACCGACGCUGCCUCAAAUUCAGCUCCUUCUGGGUAAAAAUAUACUUGAGACUUUUGUGAUCAGUGAAAAUGUCACAAGCCUCGCCAUAGAGGUAAUGCCUCCACGACUUUAGAGCAAAAACCACCGCAGCCAAUUCCAAAUCAUGAGUUGGAUAAUUCCCCUCAUGCUUCCUCAACUGCCUUGAGCCAUAAGCAAUCACCCUGCCUUCCUGCAUCAGCACACAGCCAAGACCAAUACGCGAAGCAUCCGUAUAAACUGUGAAACGCUUACCGCUCUCAGGCAAAGCUAGGAUAGGGGCGUCCACCAACUUGCUCUUCAAUGACUGGUAACUGAUCUCACAAUCGCCGGACCAGACGAAGGGAACACCCUUCCCCAAGAGCCUAGUCAAAGGCUUAGCAAUGCUGGAAAAAUUUGGUACGAAACGCCGAUAAUACCCAGCAAGGCCCAAGAAACUUCGGAUUUCAGAGACACUAGAAGGUCUCUUCCACUCCACUACAGCCGCAACAUUCUUGGGGUCAACCGCAAUACCCUGCUGAUUAAUCACGUGCCCCAGGAAAGCCACUUCAGAUAGCCAAAAGGCACACUUCUUCAACUUGCCAAAGAAUUGAUUCUUCCUUAGGGCACCUAGAACGAGACGGAGAUGCUGAUCAUGCUCGGCCUCGGUCUUUGAAUAAAUCAAAAUAUCAUCUAGGAAUACGACCACAAAAUCGUCCAAGAAUUCAUGCAGCAUCCUAUUCAUUGCUUCCAUAAACGCAGCAGGGGCAUUAGUUAAGCCAAAGGACAUGACUAUGAACUCAUAAUGCCCAUACCUGGUGCAGAAGGCAGUCUUCUCAAUAUCCUCCUCACGAAUCCUCAAUUGAUGAUAACCAGAGUUCAAAUCAAUUUUGGAGAACACCUGGGCACCCCUCAACUGCUCAAAGAGGACCUCAAUUCGGGGAAGCGGAUAUUUAUUCUUGAUUGUCACUUGAUUCAAAGCGCGAUAAUCCACACACAGCCGCUUGCUUUUAUCCUUCUUCUCAACAAACAAUACUGGGGAAGCCCAUGGAGACCUGCUAGGCCUAAUGAAGCCCUUAGCCAGCAGAUCAUCCAAUUGCCGCUUUAAUUCAAUCUGCUCCUUUGGAGCCAUUCGAUACGGGGCCUUAUGAAUAGGCUGCGUCCCCGGGAUCAGCUUAAUCUCAAAAGCUGCAUCGCGCUCCAGAGGAAUGCCUGGAAGCUCUGCUGGAAACACGUCAGCAAAGUCACACACCACCCGGAUGUCCUGCACCCGCAAGGCAGCCUCGCCCUCCACCACCAUAGAGAAAAAGAUCCCCGACUUCCUUGACCAGCGAUCAGGAAGCAAUUGCGCCAACAAGGAUAAUGUGAACUUCGGAGAACUUCCCAAGAAGACCACCUCCUUACCCGACGGCGCCUGCAAUAACACUGUCUUCCAGAAGCAGGAUAUAACCGCGCGAUACUGGGAUAACCAAUCCAUACCCAAGAUAACAUCGAAUGCCCCCAAGGAAAUCACCACCAGAUUAGCCGAAAAAACCUCAUCAGCAAGAAUGACGGAACACCCCUGACAAACUGAACAGCUACUAAUGGAGCCAUUAGCAGAACUGACCAAAAUUGGGUGACCCAACCUCUGCACCGAAAGACCAGCCCGCGACACAAAAUCCUCCGAAACAAACGAAUAGCUAGCGCCAGAGUCAAAAAGAGCAUGGGCUGCAAAUGAAUCAACUGAAAUCGUACCUGUCACCACGUCUCCUUGCGCCCUGCCAUCCGUAGCGGGUAGCACAUAAGCUCCAGAAAUACCCGCAGAAGAGGAAGCUCCCGGAGUGAAAUUAACAGAAGAACCCCACUGAGCCACCGGAGGAGGCUGGCGCGGAGCUCCAAACUGAGACAGCACAGGGGUAGACGGCGCAGGAGUAGGCACAACCUGAUACUGCGGAAAACCUUGCAUCGGCACGAACUACGAAGUCCCGGGCACAUAAAGCUGCUGUGGAGGGAGAGGAACUGAAAACUGCUGCUCAGUACUUGACAUCAUAUUGAUAGUGCCCUGAGAAGAGGAGGAAGCUAUCGGCUCCCAUCUGAGCUUCCCACUGGGAUUCCUCCUACACACCACAUCCUUGUGGUCCUGACUGCAGAUAGAACACCUGCCACUCCACUGACACUCUGCACGGCGAUGCGCAUCUCCACAGCGGAAACACACCAGCCCCAACCCGGGCUUAGGAACGGCCCGAAACCUCUGAGUACUUCCUCCUGAAGUACCUGAGUCAGAAGAUUUGCCACGGUAAGGAUGGUGGCGCUGAUGCUGAGACUUGCCCCUCUUGUGAGCUGGACCUCCAGUGUUGCCCCUCCUCGUGUCCUGGCUGCAAGGUUGAUCAACACCCGAAGACUUCUGCGACUCCAUGGUGUACUGGUGUUGCAUCUCCACACCCAGCGCCUGCUCCACUGUGGUACGGAAGUCCACCAACGGAAAGGCCCCCAGAGCAUGCCUGAUAGAAGGCUUCAGACCCUGACGGAAUUGGCUCGCCUUCUCCAUCUCAUUAUAAGCCACAUGAGGGACAAAGCGGACCAUUUUGUUGAAGCCCACCUCAUACUCUGUGACAGACUUCUUCUCCUGCUUGAAGGACUGCAAGUCAAUCUUCAUUUUCUCCAGAAAGGUGACCGGGUAGAAUCUCCUUUCGAACUGCCUGAUGAAAACAUCCCAUGAUAGGACUCCUGGUGAGGAGGAGUGCGCUGCCUGCACGCCUCUCCACCAAAUCUGCGCCUCACCCUUCAGCAGCUGAGUGCCAAAGCGAACCCGAUCUUCAUAAGCAAUCUCGAAGACAUUCAUCUUAUCUUCCACAUAAGUCAGCCAAUCUGCCGCCUCAACCGGAGUACCACUGCCAUCAAAAGAAUCCAUCUUCAUGCCCAUCCACUGCAUCAGAGAAAGACCACUGACUGGAAGAGGCACCCCGGCCCCGCCACCAGGAACAGCACCCGCAGGGACAGCGCCCCCGGGCACAUCUCCACCUCCAGCUCCCUGAGCAGCACCAGCAGGGGCGACAGGAAUGGCUUGCCUCAGCAGGGCCAACUCCUGCUGCAUGGCCUGCAUCGCGGCUAACAUUGCCGCCGGACUCAUCGAGUCCCCACUAGGAGCUUGCGGACUACCCCGAGCUCUACGAGGCGGCAUAGCUGUAUCCACAGGGAUGAGAAUAAUAAGUAUGUGAGAUAAGCAUAGCAUCUCUCUAGAUAAUGUCAAAACUAGCACAGAGAAUAACAUAAUCAUAUCAAUAGCAAGACCGAAAACCCAUCCUACAUGUGCAGUGUGUCAAUUUAUUACUACUCCACUUGCUAGGACCUACAGCCUAUGCCUCUGAUACCAACUGUAACACCCCACUGAUCCCACACAAUGGAUGAUACCAAAAGAAACCUUUCUACAAAACUUAUGCAACACAUAGAGAAAGAAAGUAUUGCAAAAUCCGGCAGCACCUCCCUUGAAAGUAGCAUAACAAGGAAAGCAUAUAGUUUAUACAGGAUAUAAAAGAAAGAUAAUUGACAUAGUAUAAUCGAAAUGCAACGGUAGAAAAGAACAUUCAUGACCAGACAAAAGAUAGUCAUCUCAGCCCACCAAACUAAACAGUUCAACUACCAUGAAAGAUUAGAAUGUAAUAAUUCCCUAGACUUGACCCUUCCUGUUUAACAUCAUUAAUAAUCAGUUAUUCCUUUAUUUAAAAGUGUGGUGGCCGUGCUGCUACAUCCCUUCUCCCAAAGCAAAGAUCAGGUGCCUGCAUCAGACAAUGCAAGAGUGAGAUGACACAUCUCAGCAAGUAAAGAAAAACAAACAACAGUUGGACAAUGCAAGCCAACCGUGCAUAAGCAACCACAUGGUUCCCAACUUCUUCCUUAAAUAUUAAUUUGCAGCAAGUAAGCAAAUACUCAAUUACUCAAUGCCAAGAAGAAUUACAAAGUAAAGAUCCACCUUAUCCACAUCACCAAAAUAGGUUCCACACUUCACCCAUGAAUGCACAUGGCUACAGAUGCAACAUGACUUCUGCCUUCAUACCUCUAAGGAUAUGAAGCUGCAUCAUACCCCUUCUCGGGAAAACAUAUGAUGCUCAUUGUACCGGUACGGUCGGACCAUAAGAUCGCAACGAAAACUUCAAUGCAGUGGAUGAUGAAUGCAUUAUGCAUGUCAACAACAUAAGUUCUUCCCAAAUAAGAUGUGCUAGACAUAUACCUCCACCCAUUUCACAUCAAUAACCACAUGGGUAACAUGAUCAAACCACACCCUCCACAUGUAUAAUCAACAGAGCAUGAAUAAUUUCAAACGAUGGUACCCAAUUAGGAAUAUGGAUAUGAACACAAGUAGCACAAACAUAAUCAAGUAUGAGGCUCUUCAAUCAAAAGACGAAAUAACCAUCACUGUUUUACUUGCCUUUACCGAAGUUAGGGCAAAAUCCCUAAGAACGAUCCGGAAGUCCACCACCUUGGGUUCUCCCCUUUUCCUUCCUCCCUUCUUCCUUCCACCAAAAUGAUUGGAGAUUCGCACCAAAAGACGAUGAUCCGAGCGGCACGGAGUAGCACCUAGGGAGGAGGGGAUUGGGGGGGGGCGGCUAGGGUUUUGUUGGCUGCAAC
rnacentral:lncRNA from 1 species